rnacentral:rRNA from 1 species
GAUGAACGCUGGCGGCGUGCCUAAUACAUGCAAGUCGAGCGAACGGACGAGAAGCUUGCUUCUCUGCUGUUAGCGGCGGACGGGUGAGUAACACGUAGAUAACCUACCUAUAAGACUGGGAUAACUUCGGGAAACCGGAGCUAAUACCGGAUAAUAUUUUGAACCGCAUGGUUCAAAAGUGAAAGACGGUCUUGCUGUCACUUAUAGAUGGAUCCGCGCUGCAUUAGCUAGUUGGUAAGGUAACGGCUUACCAAGGCAACGAUGCAUAGCCGACCUGAGAGGGUGAUCGGCCACACUGGAACUGAGACACGGUCCAGACUCCUACGGGAGGCAGCAGUAGGGAAUCUUCCGCAAAGGGCGAAAGCCUGACGGAGCAACGCCGCGUGAGUGAUGAAGGUCUUCGGAUCGUAAAACUCUGUUAUUAGGGAAGAACAUAUGUGGAAGUAACUGUGCACAUCUUGACGGUACCUAAUCAGAAAGCCACGGCUAACUACGUG